rnacentral:rRNA from 1 species
UACGUAGGGGGCUAGCGUUGUCCGGAAUCAUUGGGCGUAAAGCGCGUGUAGGCGGCCCGGUAAGUCCGCUGUGAAAGUCGGGGGCUCAACCCUCGAAAGCCGGUGGAUACUGUCGGGCUCGAGUGCGGAAGAGGCGAGUGGAAUUCCUGGUGUAGCGGUGAAAUGCGCAGAUAUCAGGAGGAACACCGAUUGCGAAGGCAGCUCGCUGGGACGUUACUGACGCUGAGACGCGAAAGCGUGGGGAGCAAACAGG